rnacentral:rRNA from 1 species
GAUGAACGCUGGCGGCGUGCCUAAUACAUGCAAGUCGAGCGAACAGAUGAGGAGCUUGCUCCUCUGACGUUAGCGGCGGACGGGUGAGUAACACGUGGAUAACCUACCUAUAAGACUGGGAUAACUUCGGGAAACCGGAGCUAAUACCGGAUAAUAUAUUGAACCGCAUGGUUCAAUAGUGAAAGACGGUUUUGCUGUCACUUAUAGAUGGAUCCGCGCCGCAUUAGCUAGUUGGUAAGGUAACGGCUUACCAAGGCAACGAUGCGUAGCCGACCUGAGAGGGUGAUCGGCCACACUGGAACUGAGACACGGUCCAGACUCCUACGGGAGGCAGCAGUAGGGAAUCUUCCGCAAUGGGCGAAAGCCUGACGGAGCAACGCCGCGUGAGUGAUGAAGGUCUUCGGAUCGUAAAACUCUGUUAUUAGGGAAGAACAAAUGUGUAAGCAACUAUGCACGUCUUGACGGUACCUAAUCAGAAAGCCACGGCUAACUACGUG